GGUACUAGCAAAAGUCCAGACGCAGUCCACUGCUGGUCCUUUACAUCCCUGGACAGUUCUUUUCUCCAUGGACAAGCGCUGACCACUCUCCCGAGCCUCACACUCAUGAAGCCAACUGCCAGGUCCCCGUCUCCACUACCUGAGUGUCUAAGAGCCAUCUCAGACGCCUGGAGCACAGGCUCCGGACGCGCAGGCUCAGCGGCCAUGGCUCAUGGGCCC